rnacentral:rRNA from 1 species
UACGUAGGGUGCAAGCGUUAUCCGGAUUUAUUGGGUUUAAAGGGUGCGUAGGUGGUUCAUUAAGUCAGGGGUGAAAGACGGCAGCUUAACUGUCGCAGUGCCUUUGAUACUGAUGAACUUGAAUGAACUAGAGGUAGGCGGAAUGUGACAAGUAGCGGUGAAAUGCAUAGAUAUGUCACAGAACACCAAUUGCGAAGGCAGCUUACUAUGGUUUGAUUGACACUGAGGCACGAAAGCGUGGGGAUCAAACAGG